rnacentral:lncRNA from 1 species
GGAAAACUUGUAAGAGAAACUACUUGCAAAGAAUUUACAAAAGAGUUACAGAUACAAUGUUUAAUGCUGAUUCCCCAUGUUUAUGAGAUUACCAUCUUCUAAUGCCUAAGUUUCCAUUCAUUCACAUAGGAAAAGAAAAAUAAACUUUAAUUAGAGUUCAGUGUGGCCAUAUAUCUCUGGAAGGUAACAAUGAUGAGAGAGAAGAGAUGGACCUACUCUCUUUGAUUAAUUUUAUGUAGGUUUUCUUGGCAUGUUACAUGGUGUACAAGUCAGCUUUCUAGGUUACACUGAGGUAAAAAAAAUCUUCAAAUCUCAGAGGCUUACAACAACAACAGUUUAACAAUUGCUUAAGUUGAAUAUUGGCUGGAAAGACAGCUGACUAUUUCAGCUGAACUGUUCUGCUUAGAGGUUUAUUUUCUUUCCCAGUCCUGCUGAAGGAGCACCUUCUCUCUGCAAAAUGCCUUCUUUUGCUAGAGGACUACCAGAACCAUGCAUUGGCUCUUAAGGUUUCUGCUGACACGUCAUUGUCUAGCCUUACAAACAGAAACACAUGCCUCUGCCAGUCCCCACAUGGGAUCCCAGAUGAGAAACCUCUCAAGGAGAAUAACAAAAUGCAGUUGGAAUCAAAGUGUAUGAAGCCUCCCAGACACACCCAGCAGGAGUCACCAGGAAGCAGCUGGGAAGAGGCUGACAGCCCACCAGCAAUGAGACCACAGGAGCUGCUGCUCCCGGGAGGGAGUCUGCUGUCAUCCUCCACUUGCUAGAGUUCUCCCUCCUCUCUGCUUGUUACACACUGCUUCCCUGCUCUAGAGCUUGCUCCAGAGAUGACUUCAACAGAACAGAGUGGCUCUUCCUUACUUGAAACACAGAUCCAUUGUACCUGUGGCUUUGGCUCUGGAUUGUCUUUCUACUUAGAGGAGAACAAGGGUGUGACUGAGCCACAUGAUGGAAAGUAAAGACUAUUGUGACCAUGAAAUUUGGAAGCCAAGCAUAGGAUACCAGGAGAGGUUGGAUAGAAGCAAGAUUUAUCAGAAUUAGCCUUGGAAUCUCUGACUCAAGUAUGGACUAUCAUCAGCCAUUAGCACCAGACAAAAUGCAGCCACUGACAAUCUUCUGGGAUGCCGCUAAGUAUACUUGACCUAACAACUACCAGUAAAACUUUCUGACAUGUGCUUUGAUUCUAGAUUAUCAACUAAGAAUUCAGGGAAACAUUCUACUAAAUAACAUGUCCUAUGUAAGUGAGAUAAUUAUAACAGCCUCCUCACUAGGUUAUGGGCCCCCAAAUUUGUACUUUUCAGAUCUUUCUUCUACGUUGCAGUCAGACACAGAUUUGAUCACGCCACACCAUUGCUCAGAAUUCUUUGGAUGCAACUUACUGCCUAUAGGAUGAAGACCACACUCAGGCAUUUCCUUGAAUGCUGACACAAUCCUACCCCAACCUACCUCACGAUCUUCCUACUGCAUGCAUGCUCCCUUCAGAUCUAAUUGGCUUUUUUUCACUAAUGCCUGCACUUGACCUAAGUGAAGAUUCUGAAGCAGGAGAGAAACUGGUUUUCUAGGCCUAUCUUGAGUCUCUUUUAUCAUUGACCAUCUUUCGCUACCACAAAAGAAUCAUAUUCUAUUGCACAAGACCUAGUGGGCCUCAUUUAAGAUUUUGAACAUUAUUCCAACAAAAUUCCUAAAAUUUUAAGUUUGUACUUAUAUCAUAAAGCUAGACCUUGCAUUUAAAACUCACCUUUAGAAAACUUGCUUUAAAAAAACAAAAACAAGUAAUUUUGAUGAAUUUGGAAAUUCUGUGACUUAAUCUUAUCUGUUAUCUGAGUAAGAGUUUAAGCAACAGUGACACUGGAAAAUAAAAUGAUAUUUAUGUAUAAAACAAUGAUAAUACUAUAGAAUGUCAUCUUUCAGGGUAACAUUUGUUGAGUUACAGAACUGAUUCAUUGAUUGCACUAAAGUUAUACCAUUGAAUAACUUGCAUGGAGGGAAACCAGAAUUAUAACCACGGGUAAAAAUUGAUAUAUUAGAGGUGAAUUUUGGAAGAAAUAAAAAUGUAGAAGGCAAUUAUAAGGGGAGCACUUAAAUUAGGUAUGAAUGGUUUAUGCUAUUGAUUAAAGCAUUUUAAAAAUCAAUAAAAGAACACUUUGUACCAAGUAGCUUUCAGGAACUUUCAGGGAAGACCAUUUGAUUCAGUUCAAAAGUCAGAAGCCUCUGCCCUAACAGGUAAAAAGCG